rnacentral:rRNA from 1 species
CGGAGGCGCGCAAAGGUUCUCUCAGUACGGUCGGAAAUCGUACGUAGAGUGUAAAGGCAAAAGAGGGCUUGAUUGCAAGACAUACAGGUCGAGCAAGGAUGAAAAUCGGACUUAGUGAUCCGGUGGUGCUGCGUGGAAGGGCCAUCGCUCAACGGAUAAAAGCUACCCUGGGGAUAACAGGCUUAUCUCCCCCAAGAGUCCACAUCGACGGGGAGGUUUGGCACCUCGAUGUCGGCUCAUCACAUCCUGGGGCUGUAGUAGGUCCCAAGGGUUGGGCUGUUCGCCCAUUAAAGUGG